CCAGGCCUAGAUCGGCGCAUGUCGAGAGGAGCAGCUCUAUGUGGGACUCCAUUUCGAAACGGGACUUCCCAUUGAGGAGCCAGUCAUCCAGGUUACUUCUGAAUCCAUGGAGGAGCCAGGCUUUGAUUUGGAGCAUGUAUGGCUUGCAAUGGAGGAUGCGUCCUGUGAAAGGAGCCGUGGUGUGAGAUGGAGGAGAUAAGUAUACGAACCAUAAUUCAUCAAAUACCCACUGGCUGUGCAGCACUGGCUUGAAGAAACUUGACAUCCAUUAGCUUGGACGUUACUCAAGAGUUAGAUUUGCUCAUUUAAAUUCAUAAUGGACGCUACUCAGACAUAUCCCCUUAUGUGGGGCUCACUCCCUCUGCUGGACUGCUGCAUCACCAUACUGACUAGGGUGAUCAGACAGCAAGUGUGAAAAAUCAGGACAGGAGAUGGCGGGGUAAUAGGAGCCUAUAUAAGAGACCCAAAAAUCAGGACCGUCUCUGUAAAAUCGGGACAUCUGGUCACUCGAAUACUGACCAAGAUUUAUCCUGCUUCCCAGAGCAAGAGCAGCUUUAGAUUCACUGCUUUCUACAACAGAGCUUUGGAAUGUGAACAUUUCUUCUAGAAACUGCCCAGAACUUCAAAUGAAUUGGAUUUUCAGUAAGUGGAACCUGUUGAUAAACGAUUUCAGGCAGCUUGAGAAUUGUGCCUGCUGACAGCAGAUAUACCCUCCUUGAUGAAGAUCACAGAAAUGAGAGAUACAGAGAACAAUGGACGAGAUACUUAAAGCAGACUAUGGAAUGCAGGUGUAGCAACCUGUAGGGAACCUGGAAGAGCAGAGGUGGCAGAAGGGAAGACUUCAGAAGGGGCACUAUUAAGUCAGUCUGUAUGCUCAUUGCUAGAAUGGUAGCUGCAGUUGCAGCAUCUCUGUAAAUAGUUCUCUUAAUAAAGAGCCAAUUUAGUUUUAGAAAUAUGGGAUCCUUUACAAUGAAUGGAAGAUGAUGUGUCCAAAUCCCCACUGUUGGGAUCUUACCCAUUUCCCCAAUAAUUGAGGACUGCUCCCUACAAUACAUUUGCAUUCUUUCCAGUCUAAUUGAGCAAACUCAAUUCACAGUGGAGUUUUCACUACUUUCCUUACAAAGAUUAUUCUAGUGAAAGAUUAGGGAAGAAAAUUCUGCUGUUCAUCCUCAGUUUUCCACCCCCAGGGCUCCAGUGUUUGGCUAGCCUCUGUAUACACAGCAAUAUAUUUUCUUCAAACAAUUUGUCUCAUUCUUCUUGCCUUUCAGUUUCCUUUCUGGUAAAGAAGUACCCAGAACCGUUCACAGUAUUAUAGAUGUGGUCACAUCAAAGCAUAAGUCGGACUAUAACCAUUCUGGCCCGUGACACAAUUCUUCUCUUUAUAAGUCAACCAUCUUAUGUUGCCUUCCUCACAGGACUGAGAUAAGGCUUGAUUAUGUUAUGUUUGUGAAUGCUUUAAGAUCUUCACAUGAUAAGCACCCUAAAAGCCCAAGGUAAAUUAUUCUCACAGAUGUUUCACCCCUACCCACAUCACCACCUUGGUCUUUUCUUGAUUGAUUUAAAGUGAACUAGCUUUUCUGAGGUGUUUGUGAAGGUUCAAUUUUCUUCCCCAAUCAUGGAUUUAAUAACUUUUAGGAUACUAUAUAGCAAUUGUUAAACACUCCUUUUGAAAAAAUUAAAACAAACUGACUUUUUCCUCUCCUUAGUCCAUUAUGAAAGCAUAGUGUGCAAAAUCUUUAGUUUUAAAAUUCAGUGGCGACACAUACUGUAUUGGCCAAACUGUACAAAGGUAAAAGUAUGAACAUGUAUUUUUAGCCACUGAAGAAUUUUAGCCAGUGAAGCUUUUAUCAAAGUCUAUUAAAAUUUCAUUAGGUUGUUUAUAAGAAUGAUUUCAUUAUUGUCCUUGUUAAAUAAAACCUGACUGAA